UUCUAGCCUAUCUAAGGGCUUUGGAGAGCAAAAGCAAAAGAUUAACUAACUGCUCACAUGGGUCCCAGGAAAAUACAAAAGCACUACUGUUUAACAGGAAAGUUACUAUCCAGAAAUUAACCCACAAAGGUGGGAAGAGUAUUUACCCGCUAAUCUCUUUAUUCCCUCGCCUGACAAAAUAUCUGCAUUCCUGGGCGGCCUCAAGAAAUGAACUACAGACAUCUAUUCCCUUUGUGAUACCUCCUUGGAAUCAAAGUGUGGAGUGUAACAAUGUGCCUCCACACACUCACACUAGUUGAUGCUUCAUCUUGGUGAAAUCAAGUUUUUGGAAUUACCUUUCCUAAGAUCAUUCUAUUCACAGAGAAGGAGCUUAAUGAAACUAUGGUGGAUGUAUUCUAGACAGAAGAAGGAUUAAACCAAGAUAAAAACAAUGUGAAUGAGGAAAGUGGGAGUAACAGGGAUUCCAAGAGAAAGAAGGAGAACUGGUAAUUGAUGUGGGGCCAAACAGCACAGUACAGCAGAAAGGAUCUAAAUUUGGGAAUUAUACUGAGAUUUUCCAUUUGUCAAAAAUGAGGAGUACUAAUCAGUAGUGCUAUGGAAACAAGACACUAACAGUUAUAGUCCGGAAGAAGAGAUGAUAACAUCUGUCCCUAAAAAGAGAAAUAUGUCUUAACCUUAAAGAAUCAAGGACUCCAGGGAUCUUUAAGUUCUGGUAGUGAGGAGAGUCAAAAAGGUAUAUCUCACCAAAGAGCCAGUGAAAAGAUGCUGUGAGAAUGGGUAGCCAUCGAAAGCAAUUCUGUUCAUCAGACAAGAGUUCUUGCUAUUUACACCACAUCUGCAGUGACUUCCUCCACUGAAGUAUUGAACCUUUAAAGUCAUCCAUGAAGGUUGAAAUCAACUUCUUCCAAACUCCUCAUAGGAUUGAUAUUUUGACCUCCUCCCAUAAACGACAAAUUUUCUGAAUGUCAUCUAAAAUGGCAAUUUUUUUCCAGAAGGUUUUCAACUUUGCCCAGAUCCAUUAGAGGAAUCACUGUAGCAGUUAUAUCCUUAAUAAAUGUAUUUGUAAAAUAAUAAUACUUGAAAGUCAAAAUUACUCCUUAACUGUGGGCUACAGGAUAGAUGUUGUGUUAGCAGUCAUGAAAAAAACAUUAAUCUCCUUGAACAUCUUCAUCAGAGCUCUUGGGUAACCAGGUGCAUUGUCAGUGACCAGGAAUAUUUUGAAAGGAAUUUCAAAAGGUCUCAACAGUAAGGCUUAAAAUAUUCAAUAAACCAUACUGUAAACAGAUGUGUUGUCAUCUAGGCUUUGUUAUUUCAUUUCUAGAACAAAUGCAGAGUAUAUUUAGCAUAAUUCUUAAGGACCCCAGUAUUUUCAGAAGGGCUAAUGUGUAUCGUCUUCAUCUUAAAGCCACCAACUGUAUUAGCUCCUAAAAAGAGAGUCAGCCUGUUCUUUGAAGCUUUGAAGCUAGGCAUUGACUUCUUCUCUCUAGCUACAAAAGUUCUAGAGGGCAUCUUCUUCCAAUAGAAGGCAUUUUGGUCUACAUUAGAAAUCUGUUGUUUAGUGUAGCCAUGUUCAUCAAUUAUCUUAGGCAGGAGAACUUCAGCUGGAGAACUUGCUGUAGCUUCUUGCACUUGCUUCACUUGCACUUUUAGGUUGGAGACGGUUUUAUAAAGAUAAUUUAUUUUCUUAAAUCCCAUGAAUCAACACCUACUAGCUUUAAACUUUUCUCUUCAGCUUCCUCACCACUCUCAGACUUCAUAGAAUUGAAGAGGUUAAGGCCUUGUUCUGGAUUAAGCUUUGGCUUAAGGAAAUGUUGUGGCUGAUUUGAUCAUUUUUAUUCAGACCACUCAAAAUUUCUCCAUUAAGCCAUAGGCUGUUUUGCUUUCUUAUAAUUUGUGUGUUCACUGGAGUCACACUUUUAUUUUUUAGAGACAAGUUCUUGCUCUAUUGCCCAGGCUGCAGUGCAGUGACACAAUCAUAGCUCACUGCAACCUUGAACUCCUGGGCUCAAGUGAUCCUCCUGCCUCAGCCUCCCAGGUAGCUGGGACUAUAGACAUGCACCACCAUACUUGGCUUAUUUUUUUUAAAUAAGUCUUCACUAUGUUGCCCAGGCUGGUCUUGAACUCCUGGUCUCAAGGAAUUUCCCCACCUUAGCCUCCCAAAACUCUAGGAUUACAGGCAUAAGCCACCACACCUGUCCUGGAGUAGCACUUUUAAUUUCCAUCAAGAACUUUUCCCUUGCAUCCACAACUUGGCUACUUGUUGCAAGAGGCCUAGCUUUCAGCCUAUCCUGACUUUCAACAUGCCUUCCUCACUAAGCUUAGUCAUUUCUAGCUUUUGAUUUAAAGUGAGAGCCAUGUGGCUCUUCCUUUCACUUGAACACUUCGAGUCCAUUGUAGAGCUAUUAAUUGCCCUAAUUUUUUUAUUGUUGUUUUAAUAUUUGCUACUACCACCAAGAUCUGCGCCUGCAGUGGCUCCACCCAGGCCCAUGUUCUAUUAAGGGACAUUGCAAUGGCCCUUCUACUCAUCUUGGCAUAGUGUCUUUAGGCUUGGGAGAUCUGAGCACUGCUCUGUCCUUCCUGCUCUAGUCCCUCUACUAGCAAUGGCUGCAUAUUGGCUCAACUCCUCAGCACCAUCCAUUUUCAGGGACAGUUGAGUAGUCAGUUGAGUUGUUAUACACUCCUUAGUGGAUUCUGACUUCCAUGGUCACUGUACUGUUGUAUAAUCAACUAUCCUAAUUUCAACAUUGUUGUGUCUCAGGGAAUAGGGAGGCCUGAAGUUAAGGAGAGACAUGGAGCAAUGAUCAAUCAGUUGAGCAAUCAAAACACACACAACAAUUAUCAAUGAAGUUUACUGUCUUAUAUGGGCAUGUUUUCUGGUGCCACAAAACAAUUACAAUAGUAACAUCAAAGGUCACUGAUCACAAAUCACCGUAACAGAUAUAAUAAUAGUGGAAGUUUGAAAUAUUGCAAGAAUUACCAAAAUGUGUCACAAAGACCUGAUGGACUUGCUAGAGGCAAGGCUGCCAAAAACUUUCAAUUUGUUAAAUAUGCAAAAUCUGCAUGGUAAAAUAAAGCAUAGCACAAUAAAAAGAAAUAUGCAUGUAUACACUAUUUAUAAUGUAUAUCCCUACAUAUAAUAUAUAUCAAUAUAUAAUAAAUGUACGUAUUGUUACAUAUUUGCAAAUAUAUAUGGUGAAAUAUAUCCAUGAGUUGCCAAAUCUGUUUUCACAACAUUAUGAACCUUCAAAAACAUGCCCAGCAAGGAGUCAUGAUGGCUGUGCAUACCCACGAACAGGGUUGAUUAGAAACAACUGUUUCAUUUACACAACACUGGGUCAUAUGACAAAUAAAUAACAGCAACCUGCCUAUUUUUAAAAUUUUGACAUCUUGCUUCUCAUGAAUUUUUUUAAUUUUUGAUUUUUUAAAUUCAUUGCCUUAACUAUUAUUUAGCCUGAUUACUGAGUUUUUGGCACCACUUUUAAAAAAAUAACUCAUUUAUUUUGAAAUGAUUUUCAUUGUAUAUAUUUAUGGGGUACAACAUGACUUUUUCAUAUAUGUAUACAUAAUGGAACAAUUAAUCAAAGUAAAUAACAUAUCUUCACCUCAUAAACAUCUUUUCUGUGGUUAGAACAUUUAAAAUCUACUUUCUUAGCACUUUUCAAGUAUGUAGCACAUUAUUAUUAACUAUAGUCACUCUGCUGUAUAACAAAAUAAAUGUCCAGAACUUAAUCAUCUUGUUUAACUGAAUCUUUCUAUAUUUUGACAAACAUCUGUCCUUGUUCCCAGCCUAUGAAAAGAAUACCCUACUCUUUUGAGUUCAACUUUUUCAGAUUCUACAUAAAAGUGAGAUCAUACAGUAUUUUUUUCUGUGCCUAGCUUAUUUUACUUAGCAUAAUAUCCUGCAGAUACAUCCAUAGUAUCUCAAAUAGCAAGAUACCCUUUUUUCUAAGGCUGAAUCUUAUUCCAUUGUGUGUAUCCGUCCCAUUUUCUUUAUCCAUUCAUCCAUCAAGAGAUAUUAUUUUAUUGUCAUAUCUUGGCUAUGAAUAAUAGUUCGCUAUUAAGAAUAAUGCUGCAAUGAACAUGAGGCUGUAGAUACCUCUGUGACAUAACUGAUUUCAUUUCCUUUGGAUAUACACACAGAAGUGGAAUUGCUGGAUUAUGUGGUAGUUUUAUUUUUAAUUUUUGAGAAACCUCCAUACUACUUUUCAUAAUGGCUAUACUAAUUUACAUUCCCACAAACAGUGUGCAAGGGUUCCCUUUUCUCUACAUAUUUGCCAAUAUUUGUCUUUUGUAUUUUAAUAAAUGCUAUUCUCACAGGUGUGAAGUGAUAGCUCAUUCACACCUGUGAAUUUGCAUUCCCCUGAUGAUUAGUGAUGUGAAAUAUUUUUUUUUUUGUAUACUUAUUGGCCUUUUGAUUCUCUUCUUUUGAAAAAUAUUUAUUAAAGUUCUGUGCCCAUUUUUUAAUCAGUUUGUUUGUUUUCUUGCAUAGAGUUGAGUUCCUUAUAUAUUUUUUAAAUUAACCCUUUAUCAAAUAUAUUGUUGGUAUAGUUUGAAUAUUUGUCCCCACCCAAAUUUCAUGUUGAAAUGUAAUCCCAGUGUUGGAGUUGGACCCUGGUAGCAGGUGUUUGGAUCAUUGGGGAGGAUCCCUCAUGAAUGGCUUGGGCCGUCUCUUUGGUGAUAAGUGAGUUCUGGCUCUGAGUUCACAUAAGAUCUGGUCAUUUACAACUGUACAACAGCUCCUGGCUACUCUUUCUCUCACUUGCCACUGCCGUAUGGUGUUCCUACUCCCCCUUUGCCUUCCACCAUGAUUGUAAGCUUCCUGAAGCCUCCCCAGAGGCUGAGCAGAUACCAGCACCAGGCUUCCUGUAAAGCCUGCAGAACUGUGAGCCAAUUAAAUCCUUUUUCUUUAUAAAUUACCCAGUCUCAGACAUUUCUUUAGAUCAAUGUGAGUGAGCUAAUACAAUGGUUUACAAAUACUUUCUCUUGUUAAACAGGUUGUCUCAUGAAUAGCUUGUUGAAUGUUUCCUUUGGUGUGCAGAAGCUCUUUAGUUUGAUGUAAUCCCAUUGCUUUAUUUUUCCUUUUGCUGUCUGUGCUUUUGUGAUAAUAUUCAAUAAAUCUUUGCUAAUACCAAUAUCAUGGAGCUUUUCCUCUAGUUUUUG
rnacentral:lncRNA from 10 species